rnacentral:rRNA from 1 species
AUCCAAAACUGUAGUUCUUGAGUGAAGUAGAGGUAGGCGGAAUUCCGAGUGUAGCGGUGAAAUGCGUAGAGAUUCGGAGGAACACCAGUGGCGAAGGCGGCCUACUGGGCUUUAACUGACGCUGAGGCUCGAAAGUGUGGGGAGCAAACAGGAUUAGAUACCCUGGUAGUCCACACUGUAAACGAUGAUAGCUAGGUGUGGGGGGACUGACCCCCUCCGUGCCGGAGUUAACACAAUAAGUAUUCCACCUGGGGAGUACGACCGCAAGGUUGAAACUCAAAGGAAUUGACGGGGGCCCGCACAAGCAGUGGAGUAUGUGGUUUAAUUCGAAGCAACGCGAAGAACCUUACCAGGUCUUGACAUCCAACUAACGAAGUAGAGAUACAUUAGGUGCCCUUCGGGGAAAGUUGAGACAGGUGGUGCAUGGUUGUCGUCAGCUCGUGUCGUGAGAUGUUGGGUUAAGUCCCGCAACGAGCGCAACCCCUAUUGUUAGUUGCUACGCAAGAGCACUCUAGCGAGACUGCCGUUGACAAAACGGAGGAAGGUGGGGACGACGUCAAAUCAUCAUGCCCCUUAUGUCCUGGGCUACACACGUAAUACAAUGGCGUCCAACAAAGGGAAGCAAAACCGCGAGGUGGAGCAAAUCCCCAAAAGACGUCUCAGUUCGGAUUGCAGGCUGCAACUCGCCUGCAUGAAGUCGGAAUUGCUAGUAAUCGUGGAUCAGCAUGCCACAGUGAAUACGUUCCCGGGCCUUGUACACAC